rnacentral:rRNA from 1 species
ACGGGAGGCAGCAGUGAGGAAUAUUGGUCAAUGGACGGAAGUCUGAACCAGCCAUGCCGCGUGCAGGAAUAAGGCCCUAUGGGUCGUAAACUGCUUUUGUAGUGGAGCAAUAAGGUGUACGCGUACAUCGAUGAGAGUACAUUACGAAUAAGCAUCGGCUAACUCCGUGCCAGCAGCCGCGGUAAUACGGAGGAUGCAAGCGUUAUCCGGAUUUAUUGGGUUUAAAGGGUGCGUAGGCUGUUUGUCAAGUCAGGGGUGAAAUCCCGGGGCUCAACUCCGGAAUUGCCUUUGAUACUGGCAGGCUUGAAUACUGUUGCCGUGGGAGGAAUGAGUAGUGUAGCGGUGAAAUGCAUAGAUAUUACUCAGAACACCGAUUGCGAAGGCAUCUCACGAAUCCGUUAUUGACGCUGAGGCACGAAAGCGUGGGGAUCAAACAGGAUUAGAUACCCUGGUA